GGCCGCUUAGUCUAGUGGUAUGAUUCCCGCUUCGGGUGCGGGAGGUCACGGGUUCAAUUCCCGUAGCGGCCC
rfam:Strigomonas culicis Cont12769, whole genome shotgun sequence.